rnacentral:tRNA from 1 species
CCUGGUGGCUCAGACAGUAAAGCAUCUGCCUGCAAUGCAGGAGACUCGGGUUCAAUCCCUGGGUCAGGA